GUCCACCUGCGCCGCGGUGCGGGGAGCGCGAAGGCAGGCGGCGCACGGCUGGCGGAGUCUGGCGGCGAGCGGGAGGGGGUCGCACGGGAGGGAUGGUGACCUGACAGAGAGCGGCCGUCUCGUUUAAAAAAGAAGGAAAGAAAGAAAAAACCCCAAACGACGAAAGUUGAAACUCACUGGCCGGUCUAGAAAGGGAAGGAUGCUAUCAAGAGGAAGAAGGGACAUGAUCAAUGAAAGCCUCUGAUGAGACAAAAGGGAAUUGGUUCAAGAGUACAGAGGAGGCAUCAGCCUUUCAGAGUUGUGCUUCUGAUUCUUGCCCUGGCUGUCUUUGUUGCCAUCACCAUAGCAGUUCACAAUGGGUCGUAAAGCAGUGGAGACAACUUGCAACAUCAACAACGCAUUUGGCCCAGUAACUGCUAAAGAAUGUACAGUGCAGUGGUGGUUUAAGAAGUUUUUCAAGGAGAGGAGAGCCCUGAAGAAGAGGAGCACAGUGGCCAACCAUCAGAAGUUGACAACAACCAAUUGAGAGCAAUCAUCGAAGCUGAUCCUCUAACGAAUACAGGAGAAGUUGCUGAAGAACUCAAUGGUGAGCAUUCAUUCUGUGGUCAUUUGGCAUUUGAAACAAAUUGGAAAGGUGAAAAAACUCAAUAAGUGGGUGCCUCAUGAGCUGUCUGAAAAUCCAAAAAAACCCAUCAUUUUGAAGUGUCAUCUCUUAUUGUGCACAAAAACAGUGAAACCCAUCAUCUCAAACGAAAUUACAAUACAAUAAAAUAAGAUAAAAUAAAGCUCAGGAAAAAAAAAACAGUACUACGUAGCGAGACAGAUCAUAAGAAC